AGGGUGUGAGCCUGGGUGACAACUCAGGUGCAUUUGCAAACAGCCUGGCCUACAAAUCUGUCCCAUGGCUCCUGGGACAGUUUUCCUCCUUGCCACGCACCUUUUGUGGUCUCGAGAAGGGGCUUACAUGUUCCCUGAGACUGGGACACGGUGACUGCUGAAAGGACUGACUGAGGGCAAGCUGCUGCAGCGUGGAUUCUCCUUCCCAUCACUGCACACCAGUAGGCAACUGGGUCCUGGUGGAGAACACCACCUGACGUGGUUAGCCUCUGUUAUCCCCUGGCUGUUUGGUGUCAUGCUGUUGCCACUACCAGGAUUGCCCCGUGAUGACACUGGAGACUGUGUCUUUCUCUGCAGUCACAUCUGCACAAGGUGGUUGCAGAUUGGUUUGCUCUUACCGUGAAGUAAAACUCCUUCAGCGUGUGCUAGGCUGAAUUUAUGAAAGGCAUCUAAGCAUGGCUGGAAAUGACCAAAAGCAGGUGCUGCUUUUCCUUGCAUGCACCAGAUCAGUUGUUAUAAUCAGGCCUUGAUAAGAACUGCUGCCGGAGACAUCCAAUCAGUCCCAUGUUAUCAUCUGGAAAUGAUUAGAGUCCUCAGGACAGAUUGAAGCCAUUUUGAUAGCAUUGAUUAGUUCCUUAUUUCAAGUUGUGCCAUUUUACCACUCAUUGUUUUAAAAUUCUUGCUGCAUUUACGAGGAUACUUUUUUUUUUUUUUUUUUCAUUGUAAAUAACAAAGUGUAUUUUGUUGUGUGAAUCCAAAUAAGCUUUGAAGCUUGUGGCUUUGUAAUUUGAAAGUCAUCUGGAGAGUGUAUGCUCUCUUGCCUGCUUUAAUCAAUGCAUGAUAAUCAAUUAUCAUAUCAAAGUGUUCAAUUACUCCAUAGUGAUGUGGUGCUGUAGCUGUUUGGCUUAAUUUCCUAGAAGAUUCUCAGCACUCUCACUGCAGCAUUUAGGUUACUUAGCCGACUGCUUAGAGAUGUCUGCUGUGAAAAUUAAGCUGGUGCUAUUUGAACACCAGCCUCCUCAGAGAAAGCCUUGUUGGAUGUUUCUUCAACACCACAAAACUCUUCCUCCUAUCUACUUUGUUAGCUAGAUGUGUAGUGCUGUUUCCAGCUCCUGAGAAGGGUGUCUUUGUUCUGCCCUUCUAUACCUAGGGCAGGGAUGCUGAGAGUCCUGGCUCCUUCUUCUUCAAACCUCAACAAGUUUCAAUGUUUCCUUGUCUUGCAGUGCACUACCCUCCGAUUACGGGAGGCCAGGUUCCUGGGUCAGUAUGUUUCAUGUUUAUUUGAAGGCUGAGGAAAAGAAAUGUGAACUGAUGAAGUAUGACUGCUGCUUAAAUCCCGCAGAUCUUACAGAGGCCUGAGAUCUGUAUUUGUGAAUUAAGGCUGUCUUCUAACUCAGAACUGAAUUGUUGUGUUGCUCUUCUUGCUCUUAAAUUUUGCUCCAUAUUGCUCUUUUUGGAGUACAUGGAGCUUAAAAGGAAAUCUAAUAAUUUUUAAUGUCCAUGUAAGGCUCUUCUAAGAUCACUGUGUUUUGAAUGCCUCGUGUCCCUGUGGCUAUGUGGUACAGAGGUACCAUUGUCCCUGUUUCAUGUAACGUUGCUAGUCCUUAAGACUGCUGCUGUUGAGUGAUGGGCCCUAAAAGGCUGCAGUAGAGCAAGAAAAGUCACCUGAGCCUUUAGGGACUCCAAGAGCUCUGUACUCUGACCACCCUUCCUCACUUCUGGAGUUCCUCACUUUUGGUAAAUCAUUGACUUAACCUCCAAGAAACCGUCAAGUAGCUUUCCCUUGAUUUCAGUUUGCAGUGGCUUUGCAGCCUAAAUGAUCUCCUCCUUGGAUAUGCAGAAUAUCCUUGAUAUCCAGACAGAUACCUACUGGCUGUGGCGUGCUGGUGGUUUUCUGCAGGAGGUAACUUGCAUGUGGAUGAUCUGGUGUUUGGUCCUUCAUGAGAAAUGAAACCACAAACGUGUCUAGGAAAGGACAGCAGAGAAACAGGACACAAAGCUGUGUUUGAGCCAUGUUACAUCAGCCUGAAGGAAGGAGAGCAAGAGGGCCUCUGCGGUGAGAAGACUAGUUCUAGUCUGGCAAAAGCCAUUGCAUGCAGCACCGACAGGAAGACGGGACUCCAGGGAGCUGCAGAGGCUCCUUAGCACUGAUGUCCCUGAGUGAUGAGCCUUUAUGUUACUGAAGAAUUUGGCCUGGAUAUGUUUAUGAAGAUUGCUAUCCAUUACUUCACGUCUAGAUGUUGUCUCAAGUGACACUUGGAGCUCUGAGACCAUCCAAAGCUGUCCGCUGGUUGGAGCUUCCUUGCCCAACUACAGAAGCAGAGCAGCCCUGUUUCUCGUGCCUUGCUGACCUUUAUUCUGUUGCUUAAGGGGUGGCCAACCUCUCUCUUUGCCUGCUGCCUCAUGUUUCUGGAGGUGAAGACAUCUGCGUUGGCAGGCAAGCUGGCACACCUAAAGACACACCUAUGACCACAAGGAAAGUGAUGCUUCAGCCAAACCAGUCAUGAGUACCGUGCAGCUCUUGUCUUUCACCAACUGUGCUAUCUACACACAUUACCAUGCUCUCAGCUACAGCAGAAGAAAUCACCACCAAAUUGCAUGCUCUGUUUGAAUACAGGGUCUUAUGCUCACAGAAGAUAAGCAGUCUCCAAGAUGCACCCUGGGCAGUGCAGGAACACAAAAUUUGUUAGACCUCAUCUCAGCAUCGAUGUGGUGUCAGUGCUGAAAUACCGAUGAGCAAACACAUGCUUCAUUUCCAUAACGUGUCUCUCCAGCUUGUGUGAAAGGUCCUAUUUCAGGUGCCUACAGAUUCCUGAUCACUCCAGGAGCCACGGUAAUGAAGAAAGGGGAUUAUUUGAAGCAAAUCACCUAAGCCUAAUCUAUGGCCAAAAUACUCUUACUGUGUUGGACUGUGGCUGAUGGAAACAGGCAACAACUGCUGCUCUGGUGCUCAUCAGCAAAAUGCCAGUGGACAAAUGAUAAUGGACUUCACCCUAGGCUUGCAUCUUAAGCCAAUUGCCGUGCAGAUAAGAGCAGCCCUUUCAAGCUGUUCCAUUGCGUUUUAAAAGCAAAACUGAGAAGGCUUCACUAGGGAACUUGAUCUCUUGUAGUGUUUAUUCUCACCAACCAAGAGCAGCAAUUAAUAUCUCUUUCAGAUGGUGAGAAUCUCUUUCAGAUGGUGAGAAUAAACAGUCUUGUAGACAUGCAGAGGAAAUGGAAAUGACAUAUGAAUUUUAAUUAACCCACUUCUCCUCAGCUUUGCUGUGUACUGCCAAAAUACAACAAUACAGAUCCUUCGGCUAUGCACCCUGGCAUCUUCCUGGGCUGCUGGCUUCAGUUGCAGGUGAGUUUCACGUGUGUACCUGAGAUCCACGUUUUUUGUGGUUUGAUCACCAAAGAGGUGCCUGAACUCUUAGUGCUUAGAUCCAUCCCCGUGUUGCUCUCCUAAGAGACUGAAGAUAGCCCUGUUUUUAAACACAACCACAUGAACUCCCGAAAUGAUAUAAUCUAUUGUGAUACUCCUGACUGUCGGUCUCAUUGCAGUCUCAGGCAGUGCUUGGACUUCCCUGGAUGUGUUGUGUAUGUUGAUAGAAACCAGUAUGGCAGAAAAUCUGAUGUCAUCUGCAGCUGCCACGCCAUAUUUCAAAGAGGAGGCAUUAACCCUUCCUAGUAACAUCUCUCCUGCAAAGGACAAACGUCGUCUUGUGUGAGCAGUGUGCACAGCCUAACUAUUUACAUCGGUACCCACUUGCCAGCCCCGGUUCUCUGCCAGAGUAAACUGGCAUUGCUCCACGGUCGUCGGAGAAACUGUAAAUCUCACUGCUGGCAGCAGAUAAUUUUGACCCCUAUGCUUUAUUUCAUCGACUUCGUGUCCUCCGACAUCUGGUAUCAUAAAAGUGUUCAGACGCAGGGAUGGGGUUUCUAUAAAUAUAUUCCUUCCGUGAGGAGAUUGACAGCAUUCAAGUCACAAAGUGUUCCGGAGCCAUGUGGGAGGCGGGAGGAGCAAGGUGAAGGGGGAGGCAGGUGUCUUAUUUCCCCUCUCACCUCCUUCAUCUCAAGCCCUUGUGUCCUCCAGGAUAUGUUUUUAGUGUUAAUGGCAAAGGUGCUCCAAAGCAGGGGUAAAUGUGGGCCCCAGAUGUGCUAAUUCAGCCUGGGCCAGGCAGGGGAACACAUGCAUUAUCUCACUCACCGGGGCGUAUCCUUGACAGCUUCAGUGGAGGCCACUGAAGCUCUGCUCUGCUGCCGUAUUUCUGCACUCUGACCAUGGUAGUGCCUUCACCCCUUCACCAGCCACAGCUCUUCCCUUGUGGCUCUAAACCAGCAGAAAGCCAUCUCUGCUUCUUGCUCUGAGUACUGUGUAGCCUGGCCAUGAGGCCAGACCCUUGGGAGCGCAAAGAGUCUGAGGGGAGCCAUAAAACAGAACAAGAGAGCCUGCUGGGGUAGGAGCCAUUCAGUGCUGGUGAGCCCUGCCUUUAGCCUGCUCUGAGGGUUGUGUGAGUCACAGGGAAGCAUCGCUGUCCCUUUCCAUCCACCCCUUGCAAUGCAGACAGAUGGCCUCACGGAUGACUGCAGGUACCAGAAGUGGCAUCACGUGGAAGGUGUAGGUACACAUAACAUGUAUCACUGCCAUAAAAGACGGGGAAGCUGGCCUUUCUUUUGUUCCUCAGAAUACAGCCCCUGUGAUCUGAGCAUAUGCUACUGUACUAUUGAUUUACUGCUUGAUUAUAAUGACAUUUCAUAACACAAGUGUUAUUAAAGACUUGUUAAUCUUGCUCAAGGAUCAUAUUCCUCAAAAUGUUUGAGCAGAAUGCUUUGCGUUUAUCUUUAAGUACAUAUUUAAAUAAACUUAAAUGACGUGCUGUAUCAAGGUUUUAAUUAGCAGAACCUUGUUUUCAGAGCCGAGCAGCUCAAAACUGCUGCUCUGUGACAAACAGUUUUUCUCCUUAGCGCAGAGCCUGUGGCUUCUUUCCCAUUCUUAAUAGAUUUCUGAAGUUUUACUAAAGCCCCAUUGCACUUCCAGUAUUUGUCUCACCCCUGCUCACUCUGUCUCUCUCAAUCCAAAGGGAAAGAGCACAAAUACUUUCUGAAGUAUGCCUGACUCAAAGCUAAGUGGAUUUUGCUGAGGUUUGUAAGGGAGCUAUUCUAUGGUGGAUUAACAGCCAUCCUUGCCAAUUAGCACAGAAAAUAUUCUUCAGCAUACAGGACGUUGACGAGUAAGUACUGUGUGCACUGGGCCUGCAGCUCUUGUUGUUAAAUAUCCACAUUGUACCGGUGUCUAGAGGUGGCAAGCAGCUUAGGGUCCCAUUGUCCAGGGGACUUCGCAAACAUACGGUGGAGAACGUCCCAGCCCCAAGCAGGUAUGAUGUGGUAUCUUCAGUUGCUUGUACAACGACAAUACGAUCUUCAACAGCAUCAUCUGCUCAAGUUUUUGUCUCGUCAUUAUUUACCUUGCUUGUCACAGGGGGCUUGUUCUUAAAUGACAAUACACUUUGAAAUGCUUCAUUGGGGUAUGCAAUGAAUUAUUUCUGCUAUUAAUAUCUGUGAAUGCUUAUGUGCAGGAGGAGGUGCUGAAUGGAGGUUUUCUAUCUAUGGUGCCCCAGCCGUGAGUGGGAGUGGGUCUUAACAGCCUCAUCCUAAUUUCUUUAGUGUGAAUAGUGCCAUAGGGCUCCCACAACAUACUUGCACCGAGAGUUCAACUGUAUAUCUUUACAGUUUAACUUAGUUAAAAGCUGAUUUUAGCUCAGCAAGUGCAAACAUCUUUGUAGGGGACCUUUUCAGUUGAAUCUAGUCUUAUGUUUGGCUUAAGUGUGAGUGGUCCAUAUACAGAGCACUUUUCGUUUAACAGGGUCUUGGCAGUUUUAAGAACCAAAGAGCACUGAAUGAGAAACUGUCCAAAUGUUUAAAGCCUCCCCUCCUCUUGGAAAGCUUGAAAUGGACUUUCUACCUUUCUCAAAAUCUUCACAAAGUCUUUUCAUGUCAGGAUUGGAUACUUCCUACAGAAUAUUAAGGAAUGUUAAGAUGAAGUAGUUGAUGAAAAGCAUCCAGGCAUAGCUUACUUUUUCAUGGCUGUCUGUUUCUUGUGAUGGUUAAAGAUAACGUGAUUGGUGUUUUUUUUUUUAGAUUCUUUAGGCAGCUUGUGUGUCUGUUUUCCCCUAGAGAGGUGAAAGACAGUUGAAAGAAAAGCUACCUAAUGUCUACUGGGGUGAAAGCCUGCAUAGCAGACACAACUGCAGAAUAGAUGGCGUGCUGGCUGUCAGAACAACCACAGGUGGCUUUUACUGCUUCUGGAUACCAGAGCCAGAUUUUUGUAGGUGAAAAGAAGAUGAAGGAGGUCCCAGAAAUGUAUGAUGAAGAGGGAUUGUGCACUGAUGACCUCCACUUCGACGCUCUCCCUACUCCUUUGCCAUUGAUGUGCUUUGCUUUGAGACUCCUUGAGAAAUAAGGAUGAGAAGAACCUGCCUAGCAAGCAGCUUGGCUGAAAUUGAACCUGCUCACGGUGAGACGUGAAGGCUGUGAGGUGGUGGCUCAUCAGCAUACGUGUGGUGAAACACUUCUGCCCACUGCUCCUGAAACAUUGGCUCUUGCUCCUGUGGGAAUGGCCCCGUGGAGGUGAUUCAGCCUUGAAGGAGGAAGGCGUUGUGACUCAGGCUGCGUCUUGCUCACCCUCUGCCGCAGGGAGGGUCCCCAGUCAUCGCAGCAGCCCCUGCCCCUGCCUGCAGCGCUGUGCUUGAAAGCUGUGGGGGCUGAAGAUCACGCUCACCACCCAGGCUGUGCCUUGCAAGUGUCCUGGGGGACACUUCCCUGUAUUUCCCUGUACUGCCAGCGGAGCACUUGCUGUUCUGUUCCCCCCAAAUGGCUUCAAUUACAGUCCCUUUCUUGGGGCAGAAAAUGCUCCAAAGGUAGAGGCUUUCCUCUACCUAAAAGAAAAAAGGGGGGAAAUUGAGAUAUAUCCCCACACCUAAAUAAAUCUGAGGCUUCCCCUCCACGUCCAGCACUAGGAAGGCUGAAUUCACAGCAAGCAUGCAUGCUGCACAUCCAUGCGAUGCCAAACCUUAUCCAUCCCUGCCUCCUCCUGCCUGGGGGCUGCUGCGUGAUGGCACGGGACAGGACGGCAGUGUGGGGCUUUGCAGACCAGCAUGAUUUUUGUGUCCUGGAUCCCCCUGAAUGUGCCAGCCUGUUCCGGGCUGCCGCAGUCGCCGUUCAAAGCAGCGGGGCUUCCAAAGGUGGUUGAAGCCAGCAAGGUAUGAAUAGAUUCAUGAAGGUCUCCGCAGGGUAAGGAAACGUUUUUGCAGCCUGCUGUUAUCUGAUCUAGUCAAUUUGACAUGGCCCCUCAUCACGGCAGAUCUGAGCAAGGCUCAGUAUUCAAAAAUAGAAGUAGCAACAAACCUCUUCCUUUUCUUCCUUCUCAGUUCACAGGGAAAAUAUUUUGAUUAGUUUGAAGGCUAGGAUUUUUUUUUUUUUCUCUCUGUUUAGAUAAGUGAAUGAAUGAGAGAGUGUGUGUGAGAGAGCGAGAGAAACAGAAGUUGCUUCGAGUUAAUUUGAAGAAAUUAGCCUUGCAUUUGCUUCAUUCAUUCGAAGCAAAAUCCUAUUAUUAGCUCCAAAAGUUUAAAGGCGCACCGCUUCAGCCAAACUCGGACUCUCAAACUGGAAGCCCAAGCCUGUAGCCACUGCUUUGAACAAACCCAAAAUGUAUUUCCUGCCACAAAUCUCACAUCAGGAAGUCCUGCCAAGCCCUGGACAUCGCCAGGCUGCAACCAGUGUGUCCUGUGUCCUGCUUCGAGAGGCAGCAUUGGCUUGCAGCGGCUCUCCGUGUGCCCAGGGUGCUCGGCGGAGGUGGAAACUCUGCCUCACGAGCGCUGCUGCCACGAAGUCUGAUUGCUCUGAGGGCUGAGAGCCGUGCAUGUGGAGCAAGUCAGUACUGAAUUGACGCCCGUACCCUUCAUGAGAUCUGUUAUCCACCUAGAGGCUAUUUUCACUUUGAAGUGGCAUUUGCUCCAUAAUAAGUAACGUCUCAAAAUGCUGUUAAUUAAAGUUUCAUCUGUUUAGAGGAUUUUCUUUUUCUUCCUCCCCCCUCUUUUUUUUUUUUCUUUUCUUUUCAGAAGCUAGUAAUUAGUCCAAUAAUGUGGAGACAUUGUUACUGCAGCUCAUUAAAUUUGGCAAUGCUCACUUGGACCUUUGAGCGCUGGCAAUGUCAAGUUGACCUGAAAUGCAAGUAUUCCAUCU